GGCACCUUGCCAUGGAGGCACCGUUUGACUUCACUGUUAAAGACAUGCCUGUCCUCAGAAAAUGGUGGUGCACAGUACUGCUUGAGAACUUCCACCUGGAUGGGCACGGCAGAAGGUUCCCACACUUCAUGGAGGAGGCCAAACAAAUGGCGGCUGGACUACUUCCACCAGUCUUCAGAAUGAAGCGAACAAGAGAAGUGAAUGACGUUUCCAGUGACAGAAUACAAAUAAUAUAUUGUAUAGGCUUAAUAUUGAUUUGACUGUUUGAUUCUUUUGACAGUGAGUUGGAGCUGAUGGCAGUCAGCAUGAAGAAGCUAUAUCUUUAGGCUUCUGUAGAUUAUUUGUUAAAUAAAUUGUGAGGAAACUUU